AAAGAAUUGGCCCUUGUUCCAUUUUUCAAAAACCGAAAACCCCAAACGAAACCCAAAAAAAAAAAAAAAAAAAAAAUGAAAUACAACAGUUCAAAUAACUACUGACUGAAGACACAGCUUCCUAACCAAAGAAAUACAUGGGACAUCAAACAUUUUACUGAAAUAGCUCCCAGGAGAAAAAAUUUCCUUAUUCCUAAAGCAGUUUCAGAAUCUUGAAUGUACAUAACUAACUCCCCACCAAGAAGUUAAUGAUGCUUGAUCUACUUACUCCAUUGUAUUUGAAAUUUAUUGGUCCCUUCAGUUUACAAUUACCUAAAAAGGUAUUAUGUGCUAUGCUGCAUACCAAUCACUGUUUCAGUAUUCUGAAUAAUUAUUUUGAACAGAUCAAACUAGCCUGACAUGUGCGGGUUGUGGAUUUUAUUGCAACGGCUUGAUCAUUUGGAGUACAACCCACCAAAUGUUUCCACAAUUCUUCAAUGCAUCACAGUAUUACUGUUUACAUCUCUAGGAAAUCUGAACUUCGGAUUCUGCUCCACAAAAGCUGGUGGCCUCUGGUAGACCACUGAUGCAGCUCUAAUCAAAAUCCCAGCCGUUAAACCCCAUAUCAAAUACUUCUUCUUCUCUGUUUCAUAGUCAAAGAAAUGAACCAGAUACUUUUCUCCCAUCCAUUCUCUCUCCUCUACUCUUCGAUUUUCAUCCUUAAUGAACAUUUCCAAUGGAGCAUCAAAUACUGCUUCAACUUCACCAGGAUUUGGAGAGGGCUUGAAUUCUUUCUUAUCACGUAGUAUGCCU
rnacentral:misc_RNA from 1 species